UACAUACACAUAUAGAUCACAGGUGUUACUGAAACAGAGUAAAUCCAGCAGCUCUGUGUUUGAUCCUCCAUCAGCUCAGCUCUUCACUGUAAUCCAGAUCUCCUAACAUGAUGCUCUGCUCCGGACUCAGCAGCACACUGUUGCUGGCAGCAACGUGUUCACUCAUCACUUCAGCAUGUCUUUAUCCUGUCUUCCUUCUCUCACCCCAACCAAUCACAGCAGAUGGCCCCGC